rnacentral:misc_RNA from 1 species
AAGUCGUAACAAGGUUUCCGUAGGUGAACCUGCGGAAGGAUCAUUAACACGUGAUACUCACGUAUUAAAAAAUUCACCGUGAACUUGUUUAUCUCUCCUAUUGUUGAAUGCAGGUAGGCGAAAUGGGAAAUUGCUAUUGGUCGCACUUCACUGUUCGCAAGAACUAUGAUUUUACACCAUAACCCAUCAGUCGUUCUAGGUCCGCCCUGGAGCUUGUCUCAAUGAAUAGAUGAAAUAACUAUGGCAUACUGGGGAAGGUAGUAGCAUAGCCCUCAGACCAUAGUGUCCAUUAUUAACCCUUUUACUAUUAUUUAAUGAUUUUGUAUGUUUAUAUGAAUUCCUGUUCUCGAAAGAGUUCGGUUGAGUUUGUAUAGAUGUCGUAUAUUACUAAUACGAAACAACUCUUAGCAACGGAUAUCUUGGUUCUC